CGAGAGGUGAGACCCCCUGGCCCCCCAGCCUGGCCCCUGCUACCUGUCCCCACCCCGAUCCUACAGCCUGACUUACCCCGAGAGGUGAGAUCCCCUGGCCCCUGCUACCUGUCCCCACCCCGAUCCUACAGCCUGACAUACCCCGAGAGGUGAGGCCCCUGCAGCCUAGUCCCCGCUACCUACCCCCCCGAUCCUACAGCCUGAUGUACCCCGAGAGGUGAGGCCCCUGCAGUUUGCCCCUCCCACCUGCCCCCUGAUCCUACAGCAUGACCUACCCCGAGAGGUGAGGCCCCUGCAGCCCGGCCCCUGCUACCUACCCCCCCGAUCUUACAGCCUGACGUACCCCGAGAGGUGAGGCUGCUGCAGCCUGCCCCCCAAUCCUACUGCCUGAUGUACCCCGAGAGGUGGGGCCCCUCCAGCAGCCUGGCCCCUGCUACCUACCCCCCCGAUCCUACAGCCUAACGUACCCCGAGAGGUGAGGCCCCUGCAGCCCGGCCCCCACUACCUACCUUCCCGAUCGUACUGCCUGACGUACCCCGAGAGGUGAGGCUGCUGCAGCCUGCCCCCCGAUCCUACUGCCUGAUGUACCCUGGGAGGUGAGGCCCCUCCAGCAGCCUGGCCCCUGCUACCUACCCCCCCGAUCCUACAGCCUAACGUACCCCGAGAGGUGAGGCCCCUGCAGCCUGGCCCCUGCUACCUACCCCCCCGAUCCUACUGCCUGACAUACCCCAAGAGGUGAGACCCCCGCCCCGUGCAUGCCCUGCCCUGCUGCUUGCCCCGUCUCUCCCCUACCCCUACUGCCUGGUCCUCGUUCAGCCCUUUGGUCCCCUGUCCACCCCCUUCCAUCCCGGCCAGGAUCCCGUGGGGGUGACUCCCCCAUGCCCAGGGGCUCAGAGGACAGAGGUUGGGGGCAGGGUGGUGUCU